GACGAACGCUGGCGGCGUGCUUAACACAUGCAAGUCGAACGGAAAGGCCCUGCUUUUGUGGGGUGCUCGAGUGGCGAACGGGUGAGUAACACGUGAGUAACCUGCCCUUUACUUUGGGAUAACUUCAGGAAACUGGGGCUAAUAACGGAUAGGAGCUCCUGCUGCAUGGGGGGGGUUGGAAAGUUUCGGCGGUUGGGGAUGGACUCGCGGCUUAUCAGCUUGUUGGGGGGGUAGUGGCUUACCAAGGCUUUGGCGGGUAGCCGGCCUGAGAGGGUGACCGGCCACAUUGGGCCUGGGAUACGGCCCAGACCCCACCGGGAGGCAGCAGUGGGGAAUAUUGCACAAUGGGCGGAAGCCUGAUGCAGCAACGCCGCGUGCGGGAUGACGGCCUUCGGGUUGUAAACCGCUUUCGCCUGUGACGAAGCGUGAGUGACGGUAAUGGGUAAAGAAGCACCGGCUAACUACGUG
rnacentral:rRNA from 1 species